rnacentral:ncRNA from 1 species
CUGCACCUAGGCCGCGAUGGUUUCUGACAGGCAAAUGCCUGAAAGAAUGAAAAGGGAACACGGUGCGGUGCCUUUCAAACGCGCCAAAUCCGUGACUGCCCCCGCAACUGUGAGCGGAGAGCGAGGCCAAUACAUGCCACUGGGUGCUUCCUGGGAAGGCUGGCCAAGCUACGACCCGCGAGUCAGGAGACCUGCCAUUGCACUUUCACCAAC